CAGACUGAGCUGGAACCUGCAGCAAUCUUUCGACGGACUUUCGUAGUCUUUUUCACUUUUUAUGUUGGAGACUGAAAGGACCACCUUCCUGAAUAUUUAUCAGAAUGUUUUAAGGUAAAAAAUUGAGAAUGGAUCUCCUUGGAGAGGAAGGAGAGAGAAUGGCACAUCUAAAGGAUGCAAUCGAUCAUCCUAAACAUUGGUCCCUUUAAUCUUAUGAAAAUGGAACUUUAAAACUGAACAAAAACAGCAAUUCAGAAGUAUUCUUUGGGCCAAUUCGAAACCUGCCUGGAUUCUGUCAUCCUUACAGUGAAUAGUAGGCUACUCUGUAAAUAGUCCUCAUUAUUUCAGUAUGAAUAAAGGUCACCCAAUUUGGUGCUUAGGGAUUACAUAAUUUUCCAUCUGCAUUUACCAACACUUUUAGAAAACAUGCAUAACUCAUUCAUUCUUGUUUCACAGUUGAGAAGCCGGUGUAAAGCUAGAUCAAAUGACUUAUCCUAUAUUGUUCAACAAGGCAAAGGAAGCCAAGAACAGAAUCUCAUUUAUUUUUCUGAACAGAUUUCAAUAGAACAGGGUAGCAUUCUAUAAGCCUUUCUUUUGGCUUCUGUGCCAUUUCCAAAGAGCUAUAUUUUGAAGAAAAGAUGCCUGCUGUAUCUGUUAUUACUGUAAUUUCUUAGCCCAUCAAUGAAUGGAAGCAAAAAUGCUGUCUGAUCCCAACAAACUCUUAUUCCAAAUGCGGAAGAAAAAGAUUACCAUAGGUAGCAAAUCUACAAAU